UACGGAGGGAGCUAGCGUUGUCCGGAUUUACUGGGCGUAAAGAGCGCGCAGGCGGUCGGCCAAGUCGAGUGUGAAAGCCCCCGGCUCAACUGGGGAGGGUCAUUCGAUACUGGUCGACUCGAAGGCAGGAGAGGGAAGCGGAAUUCCCGGUGUAGUGGUGAAAUGCGUAGAUAUCGGGAGGAACACCAGUGGCGAAGGCGGCUUCCUGGCCUGUUCUUGACGCUGAGGCGCGAAAGCUAGGGGAGCAAACGGG
rnacentral:rRNA from 1 species